rnacentral:rRNA from 1 species
GUGUCAGCAGCCGCGGUAAUACGGAGGGUGCAAGCGUUGUCCGGAAUCAUUGGGUGUAAAGGGUGCGUAGGCGGGCUAUUAAGUCUGGGGUGAAAUCUUGCCGCUUAACGGUAAAAUGGCCUUGGAUACUGGUAGUCUUGAGUGUAGAAGAGGCAGGUGGAAUUCGUAGUGUAGCGGUGAAAUGCAUAGAUAUUACGAAGAACAUCAGUGGCGAAGGCGGCCUGCUGGUCUACAACUGACGCUGAGGCACGAAAGCGUGGGGAGCGAACAGGAUUAGAUACCCUGGUAGUCCACGCUGUAAACGAUGCAUACUAGGUGUUGGCCUUUUGGGGUCAGUGCUGCAGUUAACGCAUUAAGUAUGCCACCUGGGGAGUACGUCGGCAACGAUGAAACUUAAAUGAAUUGACGGGG